CACAACACCAUUUCAAAUUAUAACCGUUGAAAGUUGAAACUACAGUCGCGGUCGAACCUGCUGGGCAAGUAAGCUCCGAUUGAGAGUGUGAGUAUUAGCGGCGCCGGAGGGGAGAAUAAAGUGGUGGCGGAUUCGUUGGUUUGGAGAUGAAUUCGUCGCUUGAGAACUGUUCGUUGUUUUCCAUAUCGACUUCUCCGCCGAUUGCAAUCGCUAAUUGCGACGAAAAGGGUUUUAAUAUUAUUGACCGGAAUCAUAGGUUUCGUCAAGUUGUAGGAGAACUUAUCGUGCACUCUUUGAAGUUGCGAAGGCCACUAAACUUUUUGUCUGUAAUUGAAUUUAUAUUUUCACUAGGAACUAAAUACAUGGCUUAUGAGUUAUUUAGUUUCUAGCAUAAGAGAUUCAAUGUAAAUUUUGUUGAACAAUUGAGUUCAUUUGUUGGCAUUUUGUUUUAAAAUUGUAUCUCCUCUGUUUUUUUUUAUAUUUUUGAUUAUGAUGUGCCAACCACAGAGAAAACAUUUCAUCCUGUAAGAGAUUAUUUGUACACUUUGUUAAAUUACUUGCUAAAAGUUUUCAUGA